GACGAACGCUGGCGGCGUGCUUAACACAUGCAAGUCGAACGGAAAGGCCCAGCUUGCUGGGUACUCGAGUGGCGAACGGGUGAGUAACACGCGGGUGAUCUGCCCUGCACUCUGGGAUAAGCCUGGGAAACUGGGUCUAAUACCGGCUAUGACCGACUGUCGCAUGGUGGGUGGUGGAAAGCUUUUGCGGUGUGGGAUGGGCCCGCGGCCUAUCAGCUUGUUGGUGGGGUAAUGGCCUACCAAGGCGACGACGGGUAGCCGACCUGAGAGGGUGAUCGGCCACACUGGGACUGAGACACGGCCCAGACUCCUACGGGAGGCAGCAGUGGGGAAUAUUGCACAAUGGGCGCAAGCCUGAUGCAGCGACGCCGCGUGAGGGAUGACGGCCUUCGGGUUGUAAACCUCUUUCACCAGGGACGAAGCGUGAGUGACGGUACCUGGAGAAGAAGCACCGGCCAACUACGUG
rnacentral:rRNA from 1 species